rnacentral:rRNA from 1 species
UACGUAGGGUCCGAGCGUUGUCCGGAAUUACUGGGCGUAAAGAGCUCGUAGGUGGUUUGUCGCGUUGUCCGUGAAAACUCACAGCUCAACUGUGGGCGUGCGGGCGAUACGGGCAGACUGGAGUACUGCAGGGGAGACUGGAAGUUCCUGGUGUAGCGGUGGAAUGCGCAGAUAUCAGGAGGAACACCGGUGGCGAAGGCGGGUCUCGUGGGCAGUAACUGACGCUGAGGAGCGAAAGCGUGGGGAGCGAACAGG